rnacentral:lncRNA from 1 species
AGCUAGAGGAUAUCAUGGCUGCUUCUAUGACACAGAUACGACUAAAAGCUGGAAUUGCUAUUGUUUUAUGGUCCAUCUGAAAUGCACGAAAUGAGAGGGUGUUUCAAACUACAAAUCAUCCCCCUGCUCAGGUGGUUCAUAAAGCUUUUGCUCUAUUGUGUUGCACAGGCCUUCUGACCAAAUCAUGAUGGUUGAGGAACAGGCAUGGUACUGGGGAGCUGCUGGUCCAUCUAACAGGUUACCGCAAAUAUCAAAAUAGGUAUGUUGGGUUCCCCCUCCCAUCGGAUUCCUCAAGCUUAAUUUUUAUGCCUCUGUGCAGACUGAUGUGGGUGUUGCUUACAUAAUACAGGAUAGCUAGGGAAGACUGGUGCAAGCUGGUGGCAAGAAAUUGUUGCCCUCAUCAGUCCCCUUUGCUGAGAUGGCUGCGGUUUGGUUGGGAAUGAGAGCAGCUUUACUUGAUCUUAAUGCUGCUCAUCUUCAGGUGGAGGGGGACUCUUGCACUGUUACUAAUUGGUUGGCUAACAAUUUCUCUAAAAAUGUUAAUUCUCACCCUAUGAUGUGUGAUCUAAGGGAAUGGAAAAACAAAUUGCAGGUUGUCACUGUUACUCAUGUUUACAGAGAAAGCAAUUUUGCUGCCGAUUUUUUGGCUAAAAAAGCUAGGGAAAGAAAUUUCAUCAUUUCUGCCCAGCAGCGUGUUUGGCCGGAGUUAGCUAAUAUCUUGGCUGCUGAUGCUUUUGGUAUUGUUUUUGAACGGUGAUGAGGCCAGGAAUGUUAAUGAGUUCUCUUAUAUAUAAAAAUGUUCUAGGGUUUCUUUUGACCUGAUUCUUCCCUUGCAUUAUGAAUAUAGAAUUUGGAGUGCUUGUAGGAGGAAUUGGGGUUUUAGAAUCCACUCUAGCUCUGAGUUCUAAAUUCUUACCGUUGCUGGGACAUAUUCAUUACAUCUUCUCCACUAGCAGAACUAUAUUACUAUGACCUCUAACAAUGUUCUUUGUGUUAUAUUUCAUAUGUUCAGAAUCUUACUUAUAUUGGCUGGGGGUUUCAGCCGGUGGUUUGAUCCACAAGGGAGUUUAAUCUACUAAUUGCUGGUUCCUGGGUGUUAUCUCCUUAUGGUGAUUUUGACCAGAUUGUAUUCCAAGUGUUUAUAUUUUUAUAACCCUGUUUAUCUCAACUUGUUGAAUAUUUACAGGAUUUGUCCUGUACACAUACUUUGCAGCUUUGAUCUUCUUAUUAUACUCACACUGCUUACAUGGUCAUUUACAUCAAGGCCCUUAAUAUCUUUGUUCAUCUUCAUUAUCAGAUGCACAUCUGGACAGCAUGGGAAAAUAAAUUGCUAUUGUAUUCUUACACAAUCACAGAAACUCAACAGCCUCAACUUGAUACAAGCACAUACUUUUGUUGAGUUUUCCUAUUAUUCUUCUAUCAUCAGGUUUUCUAUGGCUGAUUAUAGAUCAGAUGGGAUCAUUUCAAGCAACAAGGUACUACUGGUUGUCAUCCUUUACUGCCUGAAACAGCAGGUGCAGAACACCUCGGCUUGUUUUGGCUUUAAAUCUGGCGGAUGUGUUUUUUGGGUGGUUCUGUUUUGUGUUUGUUAUGUAAUAUUUUGGUUUUCUUCAAAUACUU